AUUUUUUUUAUUAUGUUAGCAUUCGGUUUUUCAGGAGUACGUUGAUGAAGUUUGCGCCUGAAUGGGAAGAAUAAUUUCUCACAUCCAAUGUGUGAUGGCUGCUAUAGUUAUGAGACAAGGUACGGAAUUUAUUUUUUUUGGUCUCAAAAUUGUUUCCGAUCAAUUUUUGCAGUCACUCUCUUAGCAAACUUAGAAUCUUUCUUGAUCUCUUAGAAUCAUGGAGACUAAUUUUGCUACUUAUUCCUUCUUUUUCCCAAAAGUUCUUAAACAUGCCGUAAAAGAAGGGAAUGCAUCAACGACCUUUUAGCAUGAAUAGUUGGUCUCCCUGAGGA